rnacentral:rRNA from 1 species
UACGGAGGGGACUAGCGUUGUUCGGAAUUACUGGGCGUAAAGCGCACGUAGGCGGAUUUGUAAGUCAGGGGUGAAAUCCCGGGGCUCAACCUCGGAACUGCCUUUGAUACUGCAAAUCUCGAGUCCGGAAGAGGUGAGUGGAAUUCCUAGUGUAGAGGGUGAAAAUUCGUAGAUAUUAGGAAGAACACCAGUGGCGAAGGCGGCUCACUGGUCCGGUACUGACGCUGAGGUGCGAAAGCGUGGGGAGCAAACAGGG